rnacentral:rRNA from 1 species
GAUGAACGCUGGCGGCGUGCUUAACACAUGCAAGUCGAACGAAGCACUUUAUUACGAUUUCUUCGGAAUGACGAUUUGGUGACUGAGUGGCGGACGGGUGAGUAACGCGUGGGUAACCUGCCUCAUACAGGGGGAUAACAGUUGGAAACGACUGCUAAUACCGCAUAAGCGCACGGCAUCGCAUGAUGCAGUGUGAAAAACUCCGGUGGUAUGAGAUGGACCCGCGUCUGAUUAGCCAGUUGGCGGGGUAACGGCCCACCAAAGCAACGAUCAGUAGCCGACCUGACGAGGGUGACCGGCACAUUGGGACUGAGACACGGGCCCAAAACUCCUACGGGAGGCAGCAGUGGGGAAUAUUGCACAAUGGGGGAAACCCUGAUGCAGCAACG